GGAUGUGUGGGCAAUCUGGCUGUGACAUCUGUCACCCCAUUGAUCGCCAGGGUUGAUUCAGCUGAUCUGGCUGGCUAGGCAGGUGUCCCCUCCCUCCCUCAAUGCUCCACAUGCGUCCCUCCUGAAGCUGCUGCUUGGUGGAAGAGGAUGACUAUCCCUGACAGAGGAGGACCGUUCCUAGGUCAAGGGUAUACGAGUAGCUGCGCUCCCUUGCUAGAACCUCCAAACAAGCUCUCUAGGAAGAAAAUUUUAGUGACAAGAAAAAUUAAGUCACGCUGUUAUUUAAAUAUAUAAAUUCUGUGAUUAUUAAUGU
rnacentral:snRNA from 1 species